GUACUGCUGAAGAGUAUCAAACUAGGACGAAACAGCUGUCCAGUAC
rfam:Trichobilharzia regenti genome assembly, scaffold: TRE_scaffold0056917